GCUUCUGAGACUUGUUUGGGGAGGUAAAGAGUGUUGGACGUGCUUCUCCUGAGAUGGAGUCCUGGGACUACAGGCGCGCGCCCCAAUGCCCAGCUAACUUUUGUAUUUUUAAUAGAGACGGGGUUUCUCCGUGUUGGUCAGGCUGGUCUCGAACUCCUGACCUCAGGUGAUCUGCCCCCCUUUGCCUCCCAAAGUACUGGGAUUACAGGCGUGAGCCACCGCGCCCGGCAUGUAUUACAAAUUCUAAGAACACGAAGAUAAUGGGGCCGGCUUGGUGGCGCGAACCUGUAGCCUCACCUACUGUCAAGACUGAGACAGGAGGAUCUCUUGAGCCCAGGAGGUCGAGGCUGCAGUGAGUCAUGAUCGCACCACUGCACUCCAGCUUGGGAGACAGAAUAUACCCUGUCUAAAAAAUAAUAAUAAAAAAAAAGGUUAAAAUUUGGAGGAUAACUCCCAGCUAGAAAGGAAGAAAAGCUCUAAAGUGGAAUCGCCUUCCCCCGGAAGCUGUUGUAAAAAUUAAAGGAUGUAUGUGAGUGCA